rnacentral:rRNA from 1 species
CAUAUGCUUGUCUCAAAGAUUAAGCCAUGCAUGUCUAAGAAUAAGUCCUAGAAUGACAAGUCUGCGAAUGGCUCAUUAAAUCAGUUAUUGUUUAUUUGAUGUGUGUAAAAAUGUAAUUCAUUUUACACUUUUACUUCCGGAUAACCGUAGUAAUUCUAGAGCUAAUACAUAUUGCAAUAAGACUUUUAGAGGUUGGUUGUUGUCAAAACGACUACUUUGGAAGUUGCAUUUAUUAGAUCUUAAAACCGAUCAGACUUUAUUUUCUUUCGGGAAGAUAAAGUUUUUAAUGAUUUUGGUGAAUCAUAAUAACUAAGCGAAUCGAAAUUUAAAGAAGGAUGUAAGAGAGAGCGAUUUCUCUUGUGUUCUUUUUCGAUGCUUCAUUCAAAUUUCUGCCCUAUCAGCUUUCGAUGGUAGGAUAUUUGCCUACCAUGGCUAUAACGGGUAACGGGGAAUCAGGGUUCGGUUCCGGAGAGGGAGCUUGAGAAAUGGCUACCACAUCCAAGGAUGGCAGCAGGCGCGCAAAUUACCCAAUCCCAAUACGGGGAGGUAGUGACAAUAAAUAACAAUGUUGGAAUGAAUAAAAAAUUCUAACAAUUGGAAUGAGAGUAUUUCAGACCUCUUCUCGAGGAUCUAUUGGAGGGCAAGUCUGGUGCCAGCAGCCGCGGUAAUUCCAGCUCCAAUAGCGUAUGUUAAAGUUGUUGCAGUUAAAAAGCUCGUAGUCUAAACUGCAAAGUGUUUAUGGAAAUGAUGUGUUUUCCUAUUUUUCAUUUGUAGAAAUAAUGAAGUUUAUUAAAUUUUAUUUCUUAAAAUUUUAUAUAUCUUCUUUUUUUACGGAAAAUUAGGUUAAAACAUAUCCCCACUUUGCUUGUACUUUGGAGAACAAAGUUUAGUAGCAAUUUCUUGUUGCUAAAUUUUGGAUUCCAAUUGUUUACUUUGAGAAAACUAGAGUGUUCAAAGCAGGCGAAAUUAAAAUUUCUCUCGCAACUGAAUACAUUAGCAUGGGAUAAUAGAAUAGGACAUUAUAAAGGAGAAAUAAUCUUUAGAAAAUAUUUGAAAAAGAAAAUAAAAUUCUUUUUAUUUUGUUUUUUCAUGAUGUGUUUCUUAAGAUUUCUUCUUUUUGGUCCUAUUUAUGUUUUUGAUUGGUGGUUCAAGGACCAAUGUAAUGAUUAAUAGGAACGGUUGGGGACAUUCAUAUUGCAUGGCUAGAGGUGAAAUUCUUGGAUUCAUGCAAGAUGAACUGCUGCGAAAGCGUUUGUCAAAGACGUUUUCAUUGAUCAAGAACGAAAGUUAGGGGAGCAAAGACGAUCAGAUACCGUCGUAGUCCUAACUAUAAACGAUACCAACUAGGGAUCGGUGGGCGUUAAUAUAAAAUUGAAUUAAAGAAAAUGAAUUAUUUCUGAUUUACUUCAGAUAUUUCAUUUAAUUUUUUUCAAGAAAUGACCCCAUCGGCACCUUAAUUUUGAUUCUUCUCAAUGGGAAACCAAAGUUUUUGGGUUCUGGGGGGAGUAUGGUUGCAAGGCUGAAACUUAAAGGAAUUGACGGAAGGGCACCACCAGGAGUGGAGUUUGCGGCUUAAUUUGACUCAACACGGGAAAACUCACCAGGCCCAGACAUGGUAAGGAUUGACAGAUUGAGAGCUCUUUCUUGAUUCCAUGAAAGGUGGCGCAUGGCCGUUCUUAGUUGGUGGAGUGAUUUGUCUGGUUAAUUCCGUUAACGAACGAGACCUUGGCCUGCUAACUAGGGGGGAUUAUCGUUUGAAUGAUCAUUGGUUUUUUUGAGGAUUUAAAUAGAAUUCACCUCGUGUGGAUUUUAUUUAUUUUCAUUAAAACCAACUCAUUCAUAUUUUGCGAUAGUACCUAAGAUUUUUAAAAUCUUUUCAACUUUCUUUUGGUUCCAGGGAAAAGGAUUAAUUAUAUAUUUAUUUGCAAAAGUAAUAAUAUAGUUUUUCAUUCCAAACUUUUCUUUUUUUCUUAGAGGAGAGAAAAUCCUUCUUAGAGGGACUAUCCGCGUUUUUACAACUAGCAGAUGGAAGCUCGAGGCAAUAACAGGUCUGUGAUGCCCUUAGAUGUCCUGGGCUGCACGCGUACUACACUGACGAAUUCAACAAGCGAUUUAAAAUUUAGUAAAUUUUUGGGUUUUUGUUCUUCUCUCUUGAGGGUUGAGUAAAGACUUUUGGGGUUUAUUAAAAACCUUGGCAGAAAUGUCUGGGUAAUCUCUUUAAAAUUCGUCGUGCUAGGGAUAGAUGAUUGUAAUUAUUCGUCUUCAACGAGGAAAUCCUAGUAAGUGUG